AUUCCUUGGCUUGUGGCGCCACCCUUCAUCUCUCUCUCUCUCUCUCUCUCUCUCUCUCUCUCUCUCUCUCUCUCUCUCUCUCUCUCUCUCUCUCUCGUGAUUACAUUGGGCCCACCUGGCUAAUCCAGGAUGAUCUCCCCAUCUCAAGAUACUUAAUCUCCUCUGCAAAGUCCCUUUUGCCAGGUAAGGUAACAUAGUCACAGGUUUUGGAGAUUAGGAUGUGGGCAUCUUUGUGGGGCCAUUAUUCCGCCUACUAGAAUAAUGAUGGUCGCUGUGUCUUCCUCAUUCUGUAUCCUCCAGACCCCCAGGGGAGAGAGAUGCCUUUCCCAGAACCACUGGACUCCAGAGACCAAGCUCCCAGGCAAAGACAGAACAGGACCACCCUGGCUGCUGGACCUCCCUGCCGUGCACUUCAAGUGGCAAUUAUCAGCCCUGAGCUAACAUCUGCCGCCAAUGCUCCUCUUCUUGCUGAGGAAGACUGGCCCUGAGCUAACAUCUGUGCCCAUCUUCCUCUACUUUCUAUGUGGGACGCCUGCCACAGCAUGGCUUGACAAGUGAUGCGUAGGGCUGUAUCUGGGAUCUGAACUGGUGAACCCCAGGUCGCAAAGUGGAAGGUGGUCACGAAGUGGAAGGUGCGAACUUAACUGCUAUGCCACAGGGCCAGCCGCAGGAAUAAUAAACUUGAAGAAAGAGUGCCUUUGUGGACCUGCGGGCAAGACAUCUGGGGCCUUGAGCACCAGGCCACACCCAUUCCUAGUGCCUCAUGGGACCCUCCUCCUGGGAAGGAUGACUCUAAUAAAACUCUUCCCCCGUGUCAGGCAUCCACGUGUACUUUUCACUUUUCGUCAGCCCCCAGGAGGUCACCCUCUGGGUCCCAUUUUACCAAUGCAGAAUCUGGGGCUGAGGGAUGGGACUGAAUGACUGGCCCAGGAUUAUGGGCUGGGGACCAGCAGAGCCAGGAUCUGAACCCUGGCCUGCCCGAUGCCACAGUCUGCACCCUUUCCAUGAACUCCGGGUGCCCAAGUGGGGAGAAAUGCAGAUGCAGAGACACCAGGGAGGAGGGCGUGGCCACACCCUGCCCAGAAAAGCACUGACUGCGGCGGAGCCGAGGCGGAGGGUGGGGUGGGGAUGACGGCGACCUCUGCCAGUUCCCGGUAGCAGAGAAUUCUAGAGCUCCCUGCACCCCUGCAUGCCAGAACAACGCGUUUAUAAAGGGAAGAGGGCAGGGUGCUGAUGAUUCAGGAAAUCUGCAGCCGAGUUAAAUGAGGGCCUCAUAAUGAUGGUGAUUAAAAAUUAACGCCACUGUUUGUUUAGUGAUUUGCGCGUCCACUUUGCAGCCACAAAUUAA
rnacentral:lncRNA from 1 species